GACGAACGCUGGCGGCGUGCUUAACACAUGCAAGUCGAACGGAAAGGCCCUGCUUGCAGGGUACUCGAGUGGCGAACGGGUGAGUAACACGUGGGUGAUCUGCCCUGCACUUCGGGAUAAGCCUGGUCAACUGGGUCUAAUACCGGAUAGGAGACAUUUUGAGUGUGAUGGUUGGAAAGUUUUGUCGGUGUAGGAUGAGAUCGCGGCCUAUCAGCUUGUUGGUGGGGUAAUGGCCUACCAAGGCGGCGACGGGUAGCCGGCCGGAGAGGGUGGACGGCCACAUUGGGACUGAGAUACGGCCCAGACUCCUACGGGAGGCAGCAGUGGGGAAUAUUGCACAAUGGGCGCAAGCCUGAUGCAGCGACGCCGCGUGGGGGAUGACGGCCUUCGGGUUGUAAACUCCUUUCGCUAGGGACGAAGCUUUUUGUGACGGUACCUAGAUAAGAAGCACCGGCUAACUACGUG
rnacentral:rRNA from 1 species